rnacentral:misc_RNA from 1 species
AAGUCGUAACAAGGUUUCCGUAGGUGAACCUGCGGAAGGAUCAUUAACAAUUUCCAUUAAAAUAUAUACAAGAGUUAUGGUUGAAUGUGGUGUUGUACAUUAUCAUCAUCAUCAUCGUAUGUGUGUGUGUGUGUGCACGCGUUCAAUCAUUAAUCUCAACACGAACAUUUAAUACUUAUGACAACUAAUGGUGAAAGUGUAUGCGUGUGUGUAUUGUGAGGAUACACAGUAACGUUACGCGAAUAACACACGAGAGAAUCGUUAAAACAACUUUUAACAAUGGAUCUCUUGGCUCUU